ensembl:snRNA U2 U2 spliceosomal RNA
AUCGCUUCUCGGCCUUUUGGCUAAGAUCAAGUGUAGUAUCUGAACUAACUAGAACUAGUUACCGUCCUCUCUGGGGCAAGACUAACUGUAAAGAAAAGCAGGCAAUUGUCUACACAUUUAAAUCAUUGUUCUCUCUUUCUUUCUCUUCUCUUUGACCACCUAGGUAUGAAAAUUACAUAUGAUGCAAUUUUACUAUUUGCAGAAAGUGAUAGUCACU